rnacentral:rRNA from 1 species
GAUGAACGCUAGCUACAGGCUUAACACAUGCAAGUCGAGGGGAAACGACAUCGAAAGCUUGCUUUUGAUGGGCGUCGACCGGCGCACGGGUGAGUAACGCGUAUCCAACCUGCCCAUCACUUGGGAAUAACCUUGCGAAAGUAAGACUAAUACCUAAUGACAUCCCACGAAGACAUCUGAAUGGGAUUAAAGAUUUAUCGGUGAUGGAUGGGGAUGCGUCUGAUUAGCUUGUUGGCGGGGUAACGGCCCACCAAGGCAACGAUCAGUAGGGGUUCUGAGAGGAAGGUCCCCCACAUUGGAACUGAGACACGGUCCAAACUCCUACGGGAGGCAGCAGUGAGGAAUAUUGGUCAAUGGGCGAGAGCCUGAACCAGCCAAGUAGCGUGCAGGAUGACGGCCCUAUGGGUUGUAAACUGCUUUUAUAAGGGAAUAAAGUGGGUCUCGUGAGACUUUUUGCAUGUACCUUAUGAAUAAGGACCGGCUAAUUCCGUG